CUUGCAAGAUUUAAUCAGCUAUGAUAAGGAGCAUAUUUCUCAGCAUUUUCUGAAGGUUGCCAAGGAGCAUUACUUGAAGGAUCCAGACUUCAACCCAAAUUAUGUUCAUACAGAAUCCUUUGCAGCAGCUGGUCUCUGUUCCUGGGCCAUCAAUAUAGUAAAAAUCAGUGAGGUGUAUUGUGAGAGAGAACCAAAAUGUUGUGCACUGGCUCAGGCUCACACUGAAUUAGCAGCAGCUAAAGGAAAAGUAUAAGUCAUCAGGAAAAAGCUUCUUGAAAUUAUAUGGCUGAGAGAUGUAUUUCUUCUGAUGGUUAGUGCCUGGUUUCCUGCCUGUGAAAUGUUAGAGGAUGAUGAGUUCAUUAGAAAAGUUCAGCAGAUGGAAUAAAGUCUGCAGACAG